CCUACGGGAGGCAGCAGUGGGGAAUCUUGCGCAAUGGGCGAAAGCCUGACGCACCAUGCCGCGUGAAUGAUGAAGGUCUUAGGAUUGUAAAAUUCUUUCACCGGGGACGAUAAUGACGGUACCCGGAGAAGAAGCCCGGCUAACUUCGUGCCAGCAGCCGCGGUAAUACGAA
rnacentral:rRNA from 1 species